ensembl:lncRNA
GCGGGGGAAUCAGGGGGGGAGGAGAGGAUGCCCCAUGGGGUGGCCAGCCCUCACGCCCUGCCAAAGAGCCCCAUGACCAGACCUGUCCUCCUCCUGCCUGGAUUCCCCGACCUCUGCUCCAUGGUCUGCUGGAGCAGCCUCUCCCGCCACUUGUAGGACGAGCUUCAGCCCGCUGGAGGCUUCCUCCCUCCUGCCCCCCCAUCUCAUGCUUUCCUUUUUCCUCUCCACAGCAAAAUGCAGCCAAGGACCCCAAAGGACCUGGAGACCCACUUCCUUCGCUUGGCUCUCCGUGCCUUGGUCAUCCUGCAGGAGCCAAGCCAGGAUCCGGAGGGACAGGUCAGUCCUUGGCUUCCUUCCAGUCCCUUUUCCUUCGUUCCUUGGAAGGGGCUCCUGAGAAAUCAAGGGGAAACCAAAGGGUUGCCCUCCCUCCUCUCCCUCCCAGGGAAGGUCAGGGCAACCAUGGCUGAUUCCGCCCAUAGCCAGGCUAGAGCCCAACACCACAGGGCUCUGGGAAGGGCAAACGCCAGGAAAAGCAGCCCUCGCACGGCUGCCUCAGCAUGGAAAGACGUUACCUAAGAGCCACUCCAGGAAGCUCAACAAAGGCACCUUCCUUCUCUUGCCACCUUCAGGAACUCCACCAAGAUGGCGGAGCAUCUCCUUCGGGGGCUCUUAGAGGAGGACCCAAGCAGAGACCAUCUGCUUUCCAUCGUGGAGGUGUUUCGGGAGCUGUUUCCAGUGGAGAAAUCAUCCUUCCUGGAGACUGCCUGGCAGGGACUCCCCCUGCCCGCUCCCCCCACCUCCAACCCUGGGCUCCUCCUCUUCCAUUCCUGCAUAGGAAUUGCGAAGGACCUGUUGGGGACAGAGACGACCUCCUCAUUGAAGAUCUUGAGGAGGAGGAGGAAGCCAGUUGGUGAGCACCUCAGAGACUCCCCCAGCUACGGCCACCCAAAUACAUGCAGAGAACACCAGCCUUCUUGAGGAGAAGGAGAAUUGGCUCAGCACAGAGAAGGGCCACCGGACAGAAAGCGGAGAUCACCUUCCCUUCUCUCCUUCUUGAUGCCAAGGUGAAGCCUGAAGAGCGAAACCCCUCACGUCAAGACUGUGACUCAGACCAUGAAACAAACAAACAAACAAAAAACAUCUGUUUCCAAGCCUGAAAGAAAGAAAAGGGAAGAGACACUGGUUGACAAAAGAAAAAAAAUCCAUCAGAUGACAGAGGGCACACACCAGAACAAUAUUUCAGGCCUCAUAUCCAUUGAAGAUUCCUAAAGUGGGGCCAUGGAGAUGGAAGGGGCCCAAGGCCUAAUGCCAACAGGUUCCAGCCCCUCUUUGAUGCAGGAGUCCAUUUAAAUUAUUCGCUAGUUUUUCAAAUGGCCCUGCCUUGCCAAACAUCAUUGCCUGCCCCUUCCCACUUCCCAGGGGAAGUCAUUGUGGCAGAUGUAGUGGCAGAUGCUGCAUAUCACUGCUGCCCUGGUGAUUUUUCAGAAGGGUACCAUCCUCACCCCCUCUCUCUGCUUUCAGUUUCAUUCUCUUGUCUGCGCUCUCUCAUCUCCCUCUGUCAAAAACCACCCUUCUUGCCACCUCCGGAUCUCCUCCACAUCCAUUACAUUCUUAACUCUUUGAAGAAGCUAUGCUUCUAAUCAGCUUGCCCUUAGGCAAUAUUUUAAUUUAUACCAUGUCGUUAUAUUCGAAUUGUUUAUUAACAAUAUUAACAAAUUGAAACCCACAGGUUUCCUCAGUUCAUUACGCUCUUUAAUUUUAUAAGC